rnacentral:rRNA from 1 species
GGGGAAUAUUGGACAAUGGGGGCAACCCUGAUCCAGCAAUGCCGCGUGGAUGAAGAAGGUCUUCGGAUUGUAAAGUCCUUUCGGCGGGGACGAUGAUGACGGUACCCGCAGAAGAAGCCCCGGCUAACUUCGUGCCAGCAGCCGCGGUAAUACGAAGGGGGCUAGCGUUGCUCGGAAUGACUGGGCGUAAAGGGCGCGUAGGCGGUUUGAUCAGUUAGGUGUGAAAUUCCUGGGCUUAACCUGGGGGCUGCACUUAAUACGGUCAGACUUGAGUGUGAAAGAGGGUCGUGGAAUUCCCAGUGUAGAGGUGAAAUUCGUAGAUAUUGGGAAGAACACCGGUGGCGAAGGCGGCGACCUGGUUCAUUACUGACGCUGAGGCGCGAAAGCGUGGGGAGCAAAC